UACGAAGGGGGCUAGCGUUGCUCGGAAUUACUGGGCGUAAAGCGCGUGUAGGCGGACCUGCAAGUCGGACGUGAAAGCCCUGGGCUCAACCCAGGAACUGCAUCCGAAACUGCGGGCCUGGAGUGGUGGAGAGGGAAGCAGAAUUCCUGGUGUAGCGGUGGAAUGCGCAGAUAUCAGGAGGAACACCGAUGGCGAAGGCAGGUCUCUGGGCCGCAACUGACGCUGAGGAGCGAAAGCAUGGGGAGCGAACAGG
rnacentral:rRNA from 1 species